UACGGAGGGGGCAAGCGUUAUUCGGAUUUAUUGGGCGUAAAGGGCGCGUAGGCGGCCCGGCAAGUCUGAUGUGAAAUCUCCACAGCUCACCUGGGAGAGGCCAUUGGAAACUGCCGGGCUUGAGGUCCGGAGAGGCCGGCGGGAUUCCCGGUGUAGCGGUGGAAUGCGUAGAGAUCGGGAAGAACACCAGUGGCGAAGGCGGCCGGCUGGACGGCACCUGACGAUGAGGCGCGAAAGUGCGGGGAGCAAACGGG
rnacentral:rRNA from 1 species